rnacentral:rRNA from 1 species
AGUGUCUUUUUGAUACAGAACUCUUGCUUUGGUUUGGCCUAGAGAUAGGUUGGGCCAGAGGUUUAACAAAACACAAUUUAAUUAUUUUUACAGUUAGUCAAAUUUUGAAUUAAUCUUCAAAACUUUCAACAACGGAUCUCUUGGUUCUCGCAUCGAUGAAGAACGCAGCGAAAUGCGAUAAGUAAUAUGAAUUGCAGAUUUUCGUGAAUCAUCGAAUCUUUGAACGCACAUUGCGCCCUCUGGUAUUCCAGAGGGCAUGCCUGUUUGAGCGUCAUUUCUCUCUCAAACCCCCGGGUUUGGUAUUGAGUGAUACUCUUAGUCGGACUAGGCGUUUGCUUGAAAAGUAUUGGCAUGGGUAGUACUGGAUAGUGCUGUCGACCUCUCAAUGUAUUAGGUUUAUCCAACUCGUUGAAUGGUGUGGCGGGAUAUUUCUGGUAUUGUUGGCCCGGCCUUACAACAACCAAACAAGUUUGACCUCAAAUCAGGUAGGAAUACCCGCU